GUUUUCCUACGGGGUGCAGCAGUGGGGGAUAUUGCACAAUGGGGGAAACCCUGAUGCAGCGACGCCGCGUGGGUGAAGAGGCGCCUCGGCGCGUAAAGCUCUGUCUUCAGGGACGAUAAUGACGGUACCUGAGGAGGAAGCCACGGCUAACUACGUGCCAGCAGCCGCGGUAAUACGUAGGUGGCGAGCGUUGUCCGGAUUUACUGGGCGUAAAGGGAGCGUAGGCGGACUUUUAAGUGAGAUGUGAAAUACUCGGGCUCAACUUGAGUGCUGCAUUUUAAACUGGAAGCCUAGAGUGCAGGAGG
rnacentral:rRNA from 1 species